rnacentral:lncRNA from 1 species
CACCGCAAGGACUGGAGAAGGGGUCUUCCUCUGCCACCCAGGCUGGAGUGUGCAGCAGCAUGACCAUGGCUCACUGCAGCUUCAACCUCUCAGGAUUAGGACUUUACUGAAGACUCUAAGGAGGACCUGUAUCUGUUGGGAUCCUUAGGGCAAGCCACAGAAACAAGCUUUGGAUACUAGAAGCAGAAAAUGGAGUUAUUGAAGACUAUUGUGGAGUUUACUGUGAGCCAGAGAACCAGGCUGGGUGGCUGUACCACUUAGAAUGAGAUCCAAACUCACACCAUAGUUCCAUCCUUGAGGUCGCCAUGUUGCUGCCACCCCUCCUGCCACCCCACCACUGAAGCUUUGGAUGCUGGAUUCUGGGCACAGCGGGGAGAAGUGUUGGUUAUUACCAUUUUAAUAUGUUUUCUUUCAAGACCUUUUCAAAAUAUACAUACGUAUUUUUAUUUCUAUUCAAAAUGGGAUACAUUUUUGAAGGUUAGCAAUAUAUUGUGAACAUUUUCUUUCCAUGCUCAGAAACAUUUUUCUAUAAUAUAAUUUAUAGUGAUAUAAACUAUCUCAUAGACCUACCAUAGUUUACCUAACAAAUCCCAAAUCAUUUGUGCCAUUUCUAAAUUUUUAUUAUCUUAUGUAAUGCUUUAAUGAACAUCCUUGCAUUUAU